rnacentral:rRNA from 1 species
GAUGAACGCUAGCGGCAGGCCUAACACAUGCAAGUCGAGGGGCAUCAUGGCGUAGCAAUACGCUGAUGGCGACCGGCGCACGGGUGCGUAACGCGUAUGGAACCUACCCACCGCAGGGGGAUAACCCGCCGAAAGGCGGACUAAUACCCCAUGGUUCCCCGACCCUGCCUGGGGUUGGGGGUAAAGCCUACGGGCGGCGGUGGAUGGCCCUGCGUGCCAUUAGCUGGCUGGUGGGGUAACGGCCCACCAGGGCGACGAUGGCUAGGGGGUCUGAGAGGACGAUCCCCCACACUGGUACUGAGACACGGACCAGACUCCUACGGGAGGCAGCAGUGAGGAAUAUUGCGCAAUGGGGGCAACCCUGACGCAGCAACGCCGCGUGAGUGAGGAAGGUUUUCGGACCGUAAAGCUCUGUCGAGCGGGAAGAAAUGUAUCGUGGCUAAUAUCCAUGAUAUUUGACGGUACCGCUAAAGGAAGCACCGGCUAACUCCGUGCCAGCAGCCGCGGUAAA